AACGAACGCUGGCGGCGUGCUUAAGACAUGCAAGUCGUACGGAAAGGCCCCCUUCGGGGGGUACGUCGAGUGGCGCACGGGUGAGUAACGCGUGGGUAAUCUGCCUUCGGGUCUGGGACGAACCUCGGGAAACUGGGGCUAAUACCAGAUAAGACCACGAGUUCUUCGGAGCUCGCGGAAAAAGAAUGGCCUCUCCUUGGAAGCUAUCGCCCGUCGAUGAGCCUGCGUCCCAUUAGCUAGUUGGUGAGGUAACGGCUCACCAAGCUUCGAUGGGUAGCUGGUCUGAGAGGAUGAUCAGCCACACUGGAACUGAGAUACGGUCCAGACUCCUACGGGAGGCAGCAGUCGGGAAUUUUGGGCAAUGGGCGAAAGCCUGACCCAGCAACGCCGCGUGAGGGAUGAAGGCCCUCGGGUCGUAAACCUCUGUCGGGA
rnacentral:rRNA from 1 species